rnacentral:misc_RNA from 1 species
CGCAAGCAGCUGACCCCCGCCCAAUAUAAUGUGCUGCGCGAAGCCGGCACCGAGCGCCCGUUUACCAGCCCGCUGAACAAGGAGAAGCGCAAGGGAACCUUCACCUGCGCCGGCUGCGACCUGCCGCUGUUUGCCUCCGAGACCAAGUUUGACAGCGGCACCGGCUGGCCGAGCUUCUAUCAGGCGCUCCCCAACGCCAUCCUCGAGAAGUCCGAUCGCAGCUACAUGAUGGUGCGGACCGAGACCCUGUGCCGGCGGUGCGGCGGCCAUCUCGGCCAUGUG